rnacentral:misc_RNA from 1 species
GCUUACGGUGGCGUGUGGCUCGAUUUGCGGUGCGAUUGACGAGUAUUUACGAUUUGUGCACCAGCAAAGAAUUGUAUUCGAUUUGGCGGGUAAACCACAUAAAUAUCGUUUAGCGGCAAACAAACAUCGUUUAAGUCAAAACACGGCUGCGUUGGCUUAGAAGUCGGCUUACAGCAGAAAAUAGUAGCUGUUUGGAAAAUAUAUACAGUUUUAUAAAAAAAAGUGUACUAUGUACCUGUGCGCACUCACUUGAUUCUUUGCCGCAUACAAAGUUUAUGAACUAAGUGACUGCCUCGGCUCAGCUUUCAGUGUAUACAUACAUAUGUAUGUAGACAACGAGUUGAAUAACCGUACGAUAAGUGUGAGUGGAGUGCGGUGUGCUGUCGCUGCGUAGGUAAUGCCUUGUAGACACAAUAUAAUGUUCCAUGAACGAAUAUAGUAAAUAGUGACAUUGUGACAAAAAAAACUUUAAGAAUGUGCGCUCGCAGGUGUGUGGUUUUGUGAAAGUGCCAAGUGAGUAUUUGUUAAAUUGUUAAGAAGCAAAAGAAAUUAUAUUCUAAAAAGUGAAACUUCAACGGAGACGGCAACUACACAAAGUUGCGCAGAACAUAGCUAGUUUGCAGAAAUACCGACAGACAGCUCAAUCUUCAUUGGCGGCGAAGACUAAAAAGCAUCUAAACACUUUCAAAAAGGGAAAUAAAAAAAAAACACCGAAUCUCACAAUGAAACGCCGGAAGCUACUAUUAUGUUGGACCAUCCUACACUCCGGUCUCAGCUUAAUUGCUUUUCUCACAUUACUGCUUAGUAAAACCACACAAGCUGCGAUUGUGCCACCGCCUUGGAGCGAUCCAGAAAAGAAUCCCUGCGCCAGCAUGCCCGGCGGUUGGCAAUUGCUCUACUGGCCGCCGCUUAAACAGUGCUUUAAAAUCUUCACAAUCGGCUACCCGUGCCCGGAGACGAUGGAACUGAGCCCAGCCCCGAAUGUGGGUAAAACGAAAUCGGCGCGCCUUAAUGCACCAGCAGCUGAAUGCCGCUGUCCGCCAGGCACUGCGCUAAGUGCGGAGACGAAUAAAUGUCAUGAGAUAUUUAAACGUGGUCCAUGCGAACAUAGUGCAUACUUUGCGCCAUUACCGGAAGAACGCGCGGCAAUUAGUAGCGGACGAAGAUCCAGCAAUCGUUGGGGCAGCUGUAAAAUGGCCAAACAAUGUCCGGUUGGCAUGAUUUUUUGGCCCAAAGAUGGCAGAUGCUAUGCGCAGUACACGAAAGGGCCUUGUGUUAAAGGCAAGCUGCUGGUAUUGAAUGAAGAUGGACUGGGUGAAUGUAAGUGUGAACCGGAAGGUGUACUGCGUGAUUACUUUUACGAUCCCGAAGAGACCUGCCAUGAACAUUAUACCAAGGGUCCUUGCUCAACACCCGGUGAGCUCUUUCUGCCUGGUGGCCGUUGUGAUUGCCAUCGGCAUUUGCCGCACUACAACGAGGAUCAUCAAAUGUGCUACGAAUUGAACACACCUGGGCCCUGUCCGCCGGGCCAUAUCUUCAAUCUACCAGACAAUUUUACAGUCGCCAACACAGCGACAGAUAUACCGCGCGCACAGUGUCAGUGCAAGGACGGCUAUGUACCCUGGAAUGAUGGACUGUGCUACCGCCUCUACACAAGGGGACCAUGUGGGCCCAACGAAUUUCUAGUUAAUGCAACCAAUUGUGUGCGCAACUUUUGCGGCAAAAGUCGUCUGUAUUUUCCCGAGGAGAAUACAUGCUAUCGCAUUGGUUCUCAAGGUCCGUGCUCAUUGCAUCAGGUGGUCGUAUUCGACUUCACGUCGCGACCCUCGGUCGAUGGCAUUUCUUACAAUGGGAUAUGUGGUUGCUCCGGCGUCAUUUGGAAUCUCGAUCAACAAUGUUCGAAUAUCGAUAAUGGUGGCACAGAAGAUGAGAAUACAUGCGAAUCGACGCCGGGUAUGGUAGAGCUGAAUGGUAAUUGUUAUAAAUUAUAUACGAGAGGACCAUGUGGACCGGGCCAAUGGUUGGAGCCGGUCAAAACACAUACACUCGGUUCGCAAACGCAACGCUUUUUAGAUACGAAGGCGAAAUGUGUCUGUCGGCCCGGCUAUACUCUCGCCGAGAAUGCUGGCGAGGAUGAGCAAAAUUUACCACGUGCGCGCAUAACACGCUGCAAUGCGCCCACGGUGGGAUUAGCGAGGUAUUUGAAUAAGCAACGUGAAAAUUCGAAAUUCAAUACAAAUUUUAAUUUUCCCAACUUUCAAUUUUGAAACUAACAAUGUCAGCCUUUCAUUUGCCUAAGUAUGUAUGUAUGUAAAUAUAUUAAAUUUAAGAUGAACUGAGCGCUGUAAACUUUGCUGCAUACAAACUUUUUUCAAUUUGUUAUAUAACUAUUUUGUUAAACUUUCAACUCUUCUAUUGUAAAUUUUUUCAAAUUAACUGUGUAAAUAGACAUUCUAUUCAGCUAUUCAGCACUUAUUUGGGUCCUAUAUAUAUUGUAUAUAUGUCAAUAUCUAUAUGUAUAUAUGUAUUUAAAUGAUUCAAUAUUUACAACGCUCUGAACUAUAAAUGUGGCUCUUUGGUGCAUGCCAACCUCUGCUCAACUAUCCUGCUCUCUUGCCAACUGUUUAUAUACAACAUAACUACAACAACUCUCUGUGCCUGCGUCUGUUCCUCAGCAUGCCCGCAUGUUUGCCUUCAUAAUCGAUAAUUCUUACAUGGUUUUUAGAAAUUUUCGGAUAGCACGGAUAAAUCAAACAUAAUAGAAGGCAUAAAAUUUAGGCAUUAAAUUAAUUGUAAAUUAAAACGAAAAUUUGAUGUAAACAUUAAACACUUAAGAUAAUCAAGAAAUUAUAAUUAAUUCGAAAAACUAUCUAGUAGUUUAAGUAAGCAACAUAUUGUUACUGUGUGUUUGAGAUUUCUG